CACGUAGGGGGCAAGCGUUGUCCGGAUUUAUUGGGCGUAAAGAGCUCGUAGGCGGUUCGGUAAGUCGGGUGUGAAACCUCCAGGCUCAACCUGGAGACGCCACCUGAUACUGCUGUGACUCGAGUCCGGUAGGGGGAGCGUGGAAUUCCUGGUGUAGCGGUGAAAUGCGCAGAUAUCAGGAGGAACACCAGCGGCGAAGGCGGCGCUCUGGGCCGGAACUGACGCUGAGGAGCGAAAGCGUGGGUAGCAAACAGG
rnacentral:rRNA from 1 species